rnacentral:rRNA from 1 species
GAUGAACGCUGGCGGCGUGCCUAAUACAUGCAAGUCGAGCGAACAGACGAGGAGCUUGCUCCUCUGACGUUAGCGGCGGACGGGUGAGUAACACGUGGAUAACCUACCUAUAAGACUGGGAUAACUUCGGGAAACCGGAGCUAAUACCGGAUAACAUGUUUAACCGCAUGGUUCAACAGUGAAAGACGGUCUUGCUGUCACUUAUAGAUGGAUCCGCGCCUCAUUAGCUAGUUGGUAAGGUAACGGCUUACCAAGGCAACGAUGCGUAGCCGACCUGAAAGGGUGAUCGGCCACACUGGAACUGAGACACGGUCCAGACUCCUACGGGAGGCAGCAGUAGGGAAUCUUCCGCAAUGGGCGAAAGCCUGACGGGGCAACGCCGCGUGAGUGAAGAAGGUCUUCGGAUCGUAAAACUCUGUUAUUAGGGAAGAACAAAUGUGUAAGUAACUAUGCACGUCUUGACGGUACCUAAUCAGAAAGCCACGGCUAACUACGUG